GAGUUUGAUCCUGGCUCAGAACGAACGCUUGCGGCGCGCCUAAUACAUGCAAGUCGAACGAGGUAGCAAUACCAAGUGGCGCACGGGUGAGUAACACGUGGAUAAUGUGCCAUUUAGUGGGGAAUAACCGACCGAAAGGUCAGCUAAUACCGCAUGAGACCACAGUCCCUGAGGGGACAGAGGUUAAAGAUUUAUCGCUAAAUGAUCAGUCUGCGUAAGAUUAGCUAGUUGGUGAGGUAAUGGCUCACCAAGGCAACGAUCUUUAGGUGGUCUGAGAGGAUGACCACCCACACUGGAACUGAGACACGGUCCAGACUCCUACGGGAGGCAGCAGUAGGGAAUAUUGCACAAUGGGGGAAACCCUGAUGCAGCGACGCCGCGUGAGUGAUGAAGGCCUUCGGGUCGUAAAGCUCUGUUGAAUGGGAAUAAAAAAAUGAAGGUACCAUUUAAGAAAGGAUCGGCUAACUUCGUGCCAGCAGCCGCGGUAAUACGAGGGAUCCUAGCGUUGUUCGGAAUCAUUGGGCGUAAAGAGUAUGUAGGCGGCCUAGUAAGUCAGUUGUGAAAGCCCCGGGCUCAACCCGGGAAGUGCAAUUGAUACUGCUUGGCUUGAAUGUGGAAGAGGGCAGUAGAAUUCCAGGUGUAGUGGUGAAAUACGUAGAUAUCUGGAGGAAUACCGGUGGCGAACGCGGCUGCCUGGUCCUACGUUGACGCUGAGAUACGAAAGCGUGGGGAGCAAACAGGAUUAGAUACCCUGGUAGUCCACGCUGUAAACGAUGAACACUUGUUGUUGGAGGUAUUGACCCCUUUCAGUGACGAAGCUAACGCGUUAAGUGUUCCGCCUGGGGAGUACGGUCGCAAGAUUAAAACUCAAAGAAAUUGACGGGGGCCCGCACAAGCGGUGGAGCAUGUGGUUUAAUUCGAUGCAACGCGAAAAACCUUACCUAGGCUCGAAAUGUACAGGAAGUUAGCAGAGAUGUUAACGUCUUCGGACCUGUAUAUAGGUGCUGCAUGGCUGUCGUCAGCUCGUGUCGUGAGAUGUUGGGUUAAGUCCCGCAACGAGCGCAACCCUUGCCUUUAGUUGCCAGCAUUAAGUUGGGCACUCUAAAGGGACUGCCGGUGUUAAACCGGAGGAAGGUGGGGAUGACGUCAAGUCCUCAUGGCCCUUAUGUCUAGGGCUACACACGUGCUACAAUGGUCGGUACAGAGAGCUGCGAACUCGCAAGAGGGUGCUAAUCUCAUAAAACCGAUCUAAGUUCAGAUUGAGGUCUGCAACUCGACCUCAUGAAGGUGGAAUCGCUAGUAAUCGCGGAUCAGCAUGCCGCGGUGAAUACGUUCCCGGGCCUUGUACACACCGCCCGUCACACCAUGAAAGUCGGCUGUACCAGAAGUCGCUGUGCUAACCGCAAGGAGGCAGGCGCCCAAGGUAUGGUCGAUGAUUGGGGUGAAGUCGUAACAAGGUAACC
rnacentral:rRNA from 1 species